rnacentral:lncRNA from 1 species
ACCUGGGCUUGUUGUGCUUGUAGGUCAGUCGUAUAGGUCAACGUUUAUUUCAAGACGUUAGAGAAAAGCAGUGCAAUACAAUACUGCAGUUCUUUCUUAAAAUAAAAAAAAAUGAAAAAAAAAAUGCGUGUGACAAACAUCGUUUUUAU